rnacentral:rRNA from 1 species
CGGCGUGCUUAACACAUGCAAGUCGAACGGAAAGGCCCUGCUUUUGUGGGGUGCUCGAGUGGCGAACGGGUGAGUAACACGUGAGUAACCUGCCCUUGACUUUGGGAUAACUUCAGGAAACUGGGGCUAAUACCGGAUAGGAGCUCCUGCUGCAUGGUGGGGGUUGGAAAGUUUCGGCGGUUGGGGAUGGACUCGCGGCUUAUCAGCUUGUUGGUGGGGUAGUGGCUUACCAAGGCUUUGACGGGUAGCCGGCCUGAGAGGGUGACCGGCCACAUUGGGACUGAGAUACGGCCCAGACUCCUACGGGAGGCAGCAGUGGGGAAUAUUGCACAAUGGGCGGAAGCCUGAUGCAGCAACGCCGCGUGCGGGAUGACGGCCUUCGGGUUGUAAACCGCUUUCGCCUGUGACGAAGCGUGAGUGACGGUAAUGGGUAAAGAAGCACCGGCUAACUACGUGCCAGCAGCCGCGGUGAUACGUAGGGUGCGAGCGUUGUUCGGAUUUAUUGGGCGUAAAGGGCUCGUAGGUGGUUGAUCGCGUCGGAAGUGUAAUCUUGGGGCUUAACCCUGAGCGUGCUUUCGAUACGGGUUGACUUGAGGAAGGUAGGGGAGAAUGGAAUUCCUGGUGGAGCGGUGGAAUGCGCAGAUAUCAGGAGGAACACCAGUGGCGAAGGCGGUUCUCUGGGCCUUUCCUGACGCUGAGGGGCGAAAGCGUGGGGAGCGAACAGGCUUAGAUACCCUGGUAGUCCACGCUGUAAACGGUGGGUACUAGGUGUGGGGUCCAUUCCACGGGUUCCGUGCCGUAGCUAACGCUUUAAGUACCCCGCCUGGGGAGUACGGCCGCAAGGCUAAAACUCAAAGGAAUUGACGGGGCCCCGCACAAGCGGCGGAGCAUGCGGAUUAAUUCGAUGCAACGCGUAGAACCUUACCUGGGUUUGACAUGGAUCGGGAGUGCUCAGAGAUGGGUGUGCCUCUUUUGGGGUCGGUUCACAGGUGGUGCAUGGCUGUCGUCAGCUCGUGUCGUGAGAUGUUAGGUUAAGUCCCGCAACGAGCGCAACCCUUGUUCACUGUUGCCAGCACGUUAUGGUGGGGACUCAGUGGAGACCGCCGGGGUCAACUCGGAGGAAGGUGGGGAUGACGUCAAGUCAUCAUGCCCCUUAUGUCCAGGGCUUCACGCAUGCUACAAUGGCUGGUACAGAGAGUGGCGAGCCUGUGAGGGUGAGCGAAUCUCGGAAAGCCGGUCUCAGUUCGGAUUGGGGUCUGCAACUCGACCUCAUGAAGUCGGAGUCGCUAGUAAUCGCAGAUCAGCAACGCUGCGGUGAAUACGUUCCCGGGGCUUGUACACACCGCCCGUCAAGUCAUGAAAGUUGGUAACACCCGAAGCCGGUGGCCUAACCGUUGUGGGGGAGCCGUCGAAGGUGGGACUGGUGAU